UAGGAAUCUUCCACAAUGGGCGAAAGCCUGAUGGAGCGACGCUGCGUGAGGGAUGAAGGCCUUAGGGUUGUAAACCUCUAAAAGAGGGACGAUAAUGACGGUACCUCUUGAAUAGCACCGGCUAACUCCGUGCCAGCAGCCGCGGUAAUACGGAGGGUGCAAGCGUUAUCCGGAAUCACUGGGCGUAAAGGGCGCGUAGGCGGUCUGUUAAGUCCGAUGUUAAAUCCCGGGGCUCAACCCCGGAUAAGCGUUGGAUACUGGCAGGCUAGACGGUUGGAGAGGCGAGUGGAAUUACCAGUGUAGCGGUGGAAUGCGUAGAUACUGGUAGGAACACCCAUUGCGAAGGCAGCUCGCUGGACAACACGUGACGCUGAGGCGCGAAAGUGUGGGGAGCAAACC
rnacentral:rRNA from 1 species